UACGUAGGGCGCAAGCGUUGUCCGGAAUUAUUGGGCGUAAAGGGCUCGUAGGCGGUUUGUCGCGUCGGGAGUGAAAUCCACUGGCUUAACUGGUGGCUUGCUUUCGAUACGGGCAGACUGGAGGUAUGCAGGGGAGAACGGAAUUCCUGGUGUAGCGGUGAAAUGCGCAGAUAUCAGGAGGAACACCGGUGGCGAAGGCGGUUCUCUGGGCAUGUCCUGACGCUGAGGAGCGAAAGCGUGGGGAGCGAACAGG
rnacentral:rRNA from 1 species